GUGGCUUCUGCGAGGAGGCGUGAGUGGAAUUACAUGGACGGAAGAGGAAAUGCAUUGGCCGGCCCAGCUCACCGAGUCUCUGAGGCAUGCUGCGAACGUUGCAGAGGAAGCCAGAGAGAACCUUGCCUUCAAGGAAUUUAGGCUGUUGGGGGAUAAUGCGAUGCUGUGGCCAGUGUCCAGGACACUGCGCUAGAGUUUGCAGUAGUUUUAAUAUGCUUGACCACCCACGAACUGUGAUCUUAGAAAAGUCACUUGGGUUAGGAGUCAAAGGAUUUAAAGCCCACAAAGCCUGAAACGUAAAUCCUAUACACAUGCACGCUAUUACUUUUCAUAUGAGAAAGGAAAAUAUAAUCCGUGUUCCACAUGAUUAUGUAAAGACUGGAAUUGAUGUACAUGCAGUAAAGACUAAAAUUGUGACGAGAUCAUUUAGCAGAAACCACUACUUCAAAAUAGGACCUCAAACAGUUACCUGUGUAAGUUCAGGACUGGUUGAGCAAAGGGAAAGGAUUAAUAUGAUUGGAGAUGUAAAAUCAGUGGAAUUUUUGGCAUUUCAGUAAAAUGUCUUUAUCAGCUGGGUGUGGUGGCUCAGCCCUGUAAUCCCAACACUGUGGGAGGCCAAGGUGGGAGGAUCAUUUGAGCCCAGGAAUUGGAGAGUUGGAGACCAGCUUGGGCAACAUAAAGACCCCGUCUCUAUGGGAAAUUAACCACCUCUCAAGUGGUGCUGAGGUGGGAGGAUAGCUUGAGCCUGGGAAGUCAAGGUUGCAGUGAGCUGUGGUGACUCCAUUAUACUCCAGCCUGGGUGACAGAGCAGGACCUUGUCUCAAAAGAAAACAAAAAAGCCCUUAUUAGUGGCAAACUAAAUAAGCCUCUAACCCGUCUUCAAGUAAAGGAAGUUAUGAUAGUAUUUUCAUUUAUGCAUUUUAAGAAACUUCGACUGACUAUGGCCAGCAACUGGGAUAGAAAGAUGGACAUCAGCCGGCUGUGGUGGCUCACGCCUGUAAUCCCAGCACUUUGGGAGGCCGAGGUAGGCGGAUCACCUGAGGUCGAGAGUUCAAGACCAGCCUGACCAACAUGGAGAAACCUCAUCUCUACUAAAAAUACAAAAUUAGCCAGGUGUGGUGGUGCAUGCCUGUAAUCCCAGCUACUCGGGAGGCUGAGGCAGGAGAAUCGCUUGAACCUGGGAGGUGGAGGUUGCUGUGAGCCAAAAUCGCACCAUUGCACUCCAGCCUGCGCAAGAAGAGCGAAACUCUGUCUCAAAAAAAAAAAAAAAAAAAAAGUGGACAAAAUGUAGUCCUAGGUCCUUGCAUUUGGCACAUUCAAGUUUGAUAAUACCAUUAGUUAUUGAGUAUUGUUGACCAGGCAUCGUGCUCCAUCAUUAAACACAUUAUCUGGUUUAUCUUUACAACAGGCUAAUGAGUUAGGUAUUAUGCCCCUCAUUGCCAAAAUUAGGAAGGAAACUAAGACCCAGAAGGAAUGAUUUUCAAGGCCACACAAUAAAUUGCAGAAUUUGGUUUCCAAGUCAGUCUGAAUUCAAGGUCCAUGUUCCUAACCACAGUGUUUUGCUGCAAACAAACACAGUUCACUGGGAUAAGUGCAGUUAUGGUGGCUUGUACAAAAUGUUCUGUGGUAGUACAGGCAGGGAGUGACAGCUUUAGCCUGCUAAACAGUCAAGACAGGCAUCACAUUCAAGUAACGUUAGAGCUGAGCCUGAAGGAUGGACAGGAUUUUGCAAGUGGAGGUGGGGAGAAGAGUUUUCUGGGCAGAGAGAACUGCGUACAAAGACAGAAGACCCUGAAAGCACAGAGCUUGUAGUUGGGGGCCCCUGAGCAUCUGGAAGAGAGGACAGGAAAUGAGGCAGGAACAGCUGAAGAGCAUCUUCUCCAGAGGUGAGUUCUGCCCCAGAGGCCAUGGGAGAGCCAGUUAAAGCGUUUAAGUGAGGGGUGGCACAUUGAGUCCAGUGUUUUAGACUGAUCUGCCAGCAGCAUUGUGGGUUGGCUGGGGUGCCAACAUUCAGCACUUCAUAACUGUUUACAUGUAUAUAAACAGCCUUGGCAUGUGAGACCACUGACAGUUUGCAUUUGUCUGUGUGAUGACCUGAUUAGUGUUUACAUCCUCCACCAGACUGUACAAGCUCCAUGAGGGCAGGGAAUGAGUCUGUUUUUGUUACCCUUACAUCACCAGCUCUUAUCACUACUCCUGGAACACAGAGAGAAUGGAAAAAAUAUUUAAAGGUUGAAUAAACGUCAUGGAAUCUCAUUCUGAUUUCUGGGGGCUCUAACCAGCAAAAAGAUGAAAAGACUGACGUAGAAGUAAACAAUUACAAUACAGUAGACAGUUUACUGUUUCAAUGAUUAAUUGUGCAAAGUAAUCUACCUGUUUACUUUUUUUAUUGCAAGUAACUUUUUCCACUUUAAUUGGGAAAGAUUUCCACAGCUGAGAAAAAAGCAAUUACAUAGCUACCGAAUUAUCUUUCCAGAUGAGUGCUGGCUUAUUCUUGAGGGUGGAGGUGACUGUGAUUUGAGAACACUGGAAAAGAAACCGCCUCAUUUCAGAAAAAUCCCUGUGAUGAACUUAAAUGACUCGAGAUGGGGAAAUGGUCACUGAAGCAGUAGCCAUGAAUUUAGGAGCUUAAAUUACUAAGAAAACUGUGUUUAAAAUAAACAGCCAAAGAAUGGCAAUAAACCAGCCCGGGGAGACUGAUGACAGCGCUCUUCAUGAAGCCCAUACUUGUCACUCUGCCACUCUGUAAUCUCACAUUCCGUGAAGUCUUUGAGCAGCCAGGACCCAUCCACUUUUCCUACGCCCUCUGCUCCAUAACGUAGGAGGUAUGGAAUUUGAAAGGAGUGUUUUUGGUUACUUUGCCUCACUGAAACUCAGGAGAAGUGGUACAAGGACGAAAACUCCUUUGCUUAAUUUCUCUAACCUAGAAGUUGAUCUAAUUUAUGAGUAAAAGAUCCUUCCAACCACAGAUUAGCACAUGAAAGAAAUAGCUCUGGCCUAGGGAAAUGAAGCCUUAGCAAAGAAGGUAUCCCAGUGAACGUGAGCAAAGGGCCUAGAUGCUGUAUAGUUCUGCAUCUAUGUCUACAUGUCACUUAUUGAGGACAUACUAUGUACUUACACUGUGAUAGAUCCUAGUCAUACCAAGGUGUAAAGACCAACAUACAUGAAAACAGUUAUGAAGUGCUGAAUGUUGGCACUCAUAGAUAUUAGGUUCCAAUCCCUGGAAUCUAUAAAUGGCUUCAAAGGGUCUUGCAAAUGUGUUUUAAGGAUCUUGAGAGAGUGAGAGUAUCCUGGAACAUCCAGGUGGGUUCUCUGUGCAGUUGCAAGUUUUCUGAUGAAGGACAGAAGGAAAUUUGACACAGACAGGAGAGGAGGCAGCAAUGUGACUAUGGAGGCAGUGAUGAGAGGGAUACAGUGAUGGGCUAAGGAAUGCUGGCAGCCACCAGAGCUGGAAGAGGCAAGGAACACCUUUCCCCUAGAGCCUCGGGAGGGAGUGUGGCUUUGCCAAUACCCUCACUUCAGCCUGUUAAUCUAAUUUCAGACUUCUGGCCUCUAGAACUAUGAGAGAAUAAAUU
rnacentral:lncRNA from 1 species